rnacentral:rRNA from 1 species
GAUAAACGCUAGCGGCAGGCUUAACACAUGCAAGUCGAGGGGCAGCAUAGAUUGUAGCAAUACAAUUGGUGGCGACCGGCGCACGGGUGCGUAACGCGUAUGCAACCUACCCGUCACAGGGGGAUAAUCCGGAGAAAUCUGGUCUAAUACCCCAUAACAUAUGGAUCGGCAUCGGUUCAUGUUGAAAUUUUCGGAGGUGACGGAUGGGCAUGCGUAGCAUUAGCUUGUUGGGCCGGUAACGGCUCACCAAGGCGACGAUGCUUAGGGGGACUGAGAGGUUUUCCCCCCACACUUGUACUGAGACACGGACCAGACUCCUACGGGAGGCAGCAGUGAGGAAUAUUGGUCAAUGGGCGCAAGCCUGAACCAGCCAUGCCGCGUGCAGGAUGACGGCUCUAUGAGUUGUAAACUGCUUUUGUACGAGGGUAAAGUGGGUUACGUGUAACCUUUUGAAAGUAUCGUACGAAUAAGGAUCGGCUAACUCCGUGCCAGCCGCCGCCGUAA